GGGCGAUUAGCUCAGUGGUAGAGCACUUCGGUGACAUCGAAGGGGUCGCAAGUUCGAAACUUGCAUCGCCCACCA
rnacentral:tRNA from 1 species